CGAAACAGAAUCCAUCUCUCCAUGCUCACUCUACGCGCCGGCGCCGCCGUGUAGACGCCGCUGGCGCCUGCACCUCCUAUUUGCCUCAACUGCCUCGUCCUCCUAGACACCGCCGCCUCCUCGACGUAUCACACGCCCAUAGGAGAAGGGCCGCCGCCGCCACCUCCACCUCCCACGCCGACAAGGACGACGGAGCCGCCGCUGAAUCCAUCACUCCCUGCUCCCCAACUCUACGGGCCGGCGCCGCCGCAUAAAGGCCGCCGCCUGCACCUCCUAGACGCUGCCACUGCCUCCUCCUCCUAGAGGCCGCCGCCUCCUCAACAUCCCACGCGCCCAUAGGAGGAGGGACGGCACCGCCGCCACCUCCCACGCUGACAAGGACGACGGAGCCGCCGCCGCCGCCACCGCCACCUCCCUAUAGCAGCAUGAAUCUUACUCUUAGACUCACGACAACGAUGAGGCCGGGGAUAAUGGUGAGCAUAUUGUGCCGAGAACAUUUGGUCCUUUGCUUGCAUAUAUUUCGUCGUCCAAUCAAGCUUUUACUGGUAAAGUCCUUGAUACAUUACCGAUAAAACCAAGAGGUGCUCCAUGUAAGAAGAGGCCUAAGCCAUUCCACGAGAGGUUCAAUUCUAGACAGAAAGGUAUUUAAUAAUGGCUUCCAUCCGCCUAAGUGCAACAUGAUGUGCCACUGUCCGUGAGCAGCAAUGUGCUAUUGGUGUUAUUGCAAUCUGUUGCAAUCCUGUAAUCUCAAACUUCUUAGUUCAUAAACAUGUAAUCGGUACACAAGAUAGGUCAUCUAUGCAGGGAAUAGACGGGUUUAUUAAGCACACAUAUCAUUAUACUGUGUUUUACGUUAAUUGCAAUGUCUGAGCUGCUCACAUUUUGUGAAACCAUCAUCUGUUGAGUAAAGCAUGAGUUGCUAGUCAUCAGUCUCAAGUGUUUGGCUUUGGGGGUGGCAGAACUAAUGGUACUCCUUUUGGCAAUGCUUGUAGUUCUGGUGGUGCUGCCAAUUUACCUUCACAGCAUGAAAAGUAGGAGUUAUGCAGAGCAUCAAUAGCCAUGCUUCUAGUUCUG